rnacentral:rRNA from 1 species
AUUGAACGCUGGCGGCAGGCCUAACACAUGCAAGUCGAACGAGUGGCGGACGGGUGAUUAAUGUCUGGGAAACUGCCCGAUGGAGGGGGAUAACUACUGGACACGGUAGCUAAUACCGCAUACCAUCGGAUGUGCCCAGAUGGGAUUAGCUAGUAGGUUGGGUAACGGCUCACCUAGGCGACGAUCCCUAGCUGGUCUGAGAGGAUGACCAGCCACACGGGAACUGAGACACGGUCCAGACUCCUACGGGAGGCAGCAGUGGGGAAUAUUGCACAAUGGGCGCAAGACUGCUGCAGCCAUGCAGCGUGUAUGAAGAAGGCAUUCGGGUUGUAAAGUACUUUCAGCGAGGAGGCGUUACUCGCAGAAGAAGCACCGGCUAACUCCGUGCCAGCCGCCGCGGUAAUAC